rnacentral:tRNA from 1 species
CCUUUAAUAGCUCAAUUGAAUAGAGCGUCUCACUUCUAAUGAGAAGGUUCCAGGUUUGAAUCCCGGUUAAAGGU